rnacentral:rRNA from 1 species
UAUUGCACAAUGGGGGAAACCCUGAUGCAGCGACGCCGCGUGAGUGAAGAAGUAUUUCGGUAUGUAAAGCUCUAUCAGCAGGGAAGAUAAUGACGGUACCUGUGUAAGAAGCCCCGGCUAACUACGUGCCAGCAGCCGCGGUAAUACGUAGGGGGCAAGCGUUAUCCGGAUUUACUGGGUGUAAAGGGAGCGUAGACGGCAUGGCAAGUCUGAAGUGAAAGCCCGGGGCUCAACCGCGGGACUGCUUUGGAAACUGUUAAGCUGGAGUGCAGGAGAGGUAAGUGGAAUUCCUAGUGUAGCGGUGAAAUGCGUAGAUAUUAGGAGGAACACCAGUGGCGAAGGCGGCUUACUGGACUGUAACUGACGUUGAGGCUCGAAAGCGUGGGGAGCA